UACUCUGAAAUCCUCUCGUACUGUUUGCUUGAAGAUUGUUUGCUCCAAACAUCGCACUGUAGAAUAUGUCGGACGUGCCGACUGGUGAUUUUUGUUUUCGUUCUCCACAUAUGAAGCGACAUGAUUGGAACGAAUAUUGGUUGACUAAUUUGCCCUUCUUUGUACUUUUGUUAAUAUUUGUAUGUACACAUUCACCGUCACAGAUUGACCAAGUAAGAAGAAUAAAUUGAUAGCAAGUAUACAACUGAUAAACUGCAAGUGCAAGUUAGAGAAUCAUUAAAGAGAAUGCAAUGUGGUUCAGAUUUAAAGAAGACAUUGGGAAUCAAAUAUGAUUUUUAGUAUCCCAGUUGGUUUUUCCGAUGUUAUUCGCGCAAAUGUAACCGGAAGACUGGCUACCGGAAUUACAAUGAUAACGAGAUAUAUAUGCAACACGAACGGUUGCAGAGGUUGGUGAUGCAAACGAUAGACAAUGAUUUUAACCCAGUCACUUACCUGAGAACACUCGCUUUAACACCACCGAUAGAAUUUGACACAAGUCCUUUGCGUAGUACACAAUUUUAUGAUUUUAGGAUGGAAUACAUGUCAUUUUACAAAUAGGGCGGAUGUUGUCAGUACGACUGCCUGACUCUCACUGAAGUCAAAACAUCAGAAAAACAUACUUAAGAAUUUUGCUAGGUUAUAUUUUAUAUUAGAAACGAGAUUAUCGAAUGAUUAUGAAAAACAUACAAUUAACACUUAAAGGGUAAACAAAAAAAUAUAAUUGAUUACGGAUUAAAGAUAUAUGUCUAUACUAAAUAACUCUUACAUAAUGAAUAGAAAUAAUUUGACAAUAAGAAUGCUUAUGAUUAGAUUAUAUGUAAUAAAACGUUUUAAAUAUA